AUUUAUCAAGUAAAGAUCUAUUUGCCCUGAAAUUUUCAGAUGAAUCGGACAACCGGUUGUUGGGUUGCUGUCCCUAAUUUGGUAAUUUUUAAGGAAAUUUUGACGUUUUUGGUUAUUAUCUUGAAUGUUAUUAUAGAUAGAGAUAAACUGUAAACAGCAAUAAUGUUAAGCAAAGUAAGACCUAUAAAUAAGUCAAAUGACCAAAAUGG
rnacentral:lncRNA from 1 species